CAUGUCUUUUUGUUUAUGAUUUAAGGUUUGACCUGCUCAAUGAGGAUUUAAAUUGCCGCGGUAUUUUGACUGUGCAAAGGUAGCAUAAUAAUUAGUUUUUUUAUUGAAAGCUGGAAUGAAUGGUUGGACGAGAAAAUUACUGUCUCUAUUUAAUUUUUUAUUGAAUUUAACUUUUGAGUGAAAAGGCUCAAAUAUUUUUUAAAGACGAGAAGACCCUAUAGAGUUUUAUAUGAUAUCUAUUUAAAUUUUAUUUGGUUAUUAGUUUAUUUGAUUAGGUUUCUUAUUUGGUUGGGGUGACUAAAAGAUUUAUUAAACUCUUUUAUUUUUUUUUAUCAAUGAUUUUUGAUUUGUUAAUCUGAUAUUAUCAAAUUUAAUAUAAAUUACCUUAGGGAUAACAGCGUAAUUUCUUUUUAGAGUUCUUAUUGAAAUUGAAGUUUGCGACCUCGAUGUUGGAUUAAAAUUAAUUUUUGGUGCAGAAGCUGAAUGAUUGAGUCUGUUCGACUUUUAAAAUUUUACAUGAUCUGAGU
rnacentral:rRNA from 1 species